rnacentral:rRNA from 1 species
UACAGAGGUGGCAAGCGUUGUUCGGAAUUACUGGGCGUAAAGCGUGCGCAGGCGGCUUCGCAAGUCAGACGUGAAAUCCCCGGGCUUAACCUGGGAAUGGCGUUUGAAACUACGGAGCUGGAGUAUGGCAGAGGGGGGUGGAAUUCCACGUGUAGCGGUGAAAUGCGUAGAUAUGUGGAGGAACACCGAUGGCGAAGGCAGCCCCCUGGGCCAAUACUGACGCUCAUGCACGAAAGCGUGGGGAGCAAACGGG